rnacentral:rRNA from 1 species
GAUGAACGCUAGCGGCAGGCCUAAUACAUGCAAGUCGAACGGUGUCUUCGGACAUAGUGGCGCACGGGUGCGUAACACGUAUGCAACCUACCUUACAUUGGGGGAUAGCCUUUCGAAAGGGAGAUUAAUACCGCAUAAGACAGUAGCUGGGCAUCCAGCAGCUGUUAAAGAUUUAUCGAUGUAAGAUGGGCAUGCGUCCAAUUAGUUAGUUGGCGAGGUAACGGCUCACCAAGACUUUGAUUGGUAGGGGAACUGAGAGGUCAAUCCCCCACACUGGCACUGAGAUACGGGCCAGACUCCUACGGGAGGCAGCAGUAGGGAAUAUUGGGCAAUGGACGCAAGUCUGACCCAGCCAUGCCGCGUGCAGGAUGAAGGCGUUAUGCGUUGUAAACUGCUUUUAUACAGGAAGAAACGACUCUUGCGAGAGGCAUUGACGGUACUGUAUGAAUAAGCACCGGCUAACUCCGUG